rnacentral:rRNA from 1 species
CAGUAGCCGCGGUAACACGGAGGGAGCUAGCGUUGUUCGGAAUUACUGGGCGUAAAGCGCGCGUAGGCGGUUACUCAAGUCAGAGGUGAAAGCCCGGGGCUCAACCCCGGAACUGCCUUUGAAACUAGGUGACUAGAAUCUUGGAGAGGUCAGUGGAAUUCCGAGUGUAGAGGUGAAAUUCGUAGAUAUUCGGAAGAACACCAGUGGCGAAGGCGACUGACUGGACAAGUAUUGACGCUGAGGUGCGAAAGCGUGGGGAGCAAACAGGAUUAGAUACCCCGGUAGUCCCUGUCUCUUAUAC